UCUAUCAGGACCUGUGAGACUUCCCUCAAGAGCUGGUUGUUAAAAAGAGCCUAGGACCUCUUCCCUCUCUUGCUUCCUCUCUUGCCUUGUGAUCUUCACAUCCUGACUCUCCUUCACCUUCCACUCUGAGUGGAAGUUUCCUGAGGCUCUCGCAAGAAGCAGAUAUCGGCACCAUGCUUCUUUUACAGUCUUCAUAGUCCUGAGAACAAAACAGUUCAGAUCAACUCAACAAUAUUCCAAGUGGGCUUUGCAGAGCAUCUUCUGGACUAAGUAGAAGGAGAAGGAGAAGGAGCCAGACCUUCCCUGUGGCCAUGCUUUCUCUAAAACAGCCCUGAUGACUUACUUUUUCAGGUUGAGGUCUGAGUAAGCCUCCAUAUUAUGUAAUAAUAAUUAUAUUAUUAUGUAAUAAUAUAAAAUAAUGAUAUCAAUUA
rnacentral:lncRNA from 10 species